rnacentral:rRNA from 1 species
UACGAAGGGGGCUAGCGUUGCUCGGAAUUACUGGGCGUAAAGCGCACGUAGGCGGGUCUUUAAGUCAGGGGUGAAAUCCUGGAGCUCAACUCCAGAACUGCCUUUGAUACUGAGGAUCUUGAGUUCGGGAGAGGUGAGUGGAACUGCGAGUGUAGAGGUGAAAUUCGUAGAUAUUCGCAAGAACACCAGUGGCGAAGGCGGCUGUCUGGUCCGGUUCUGACGCUGAGGCGCGAAAGCGUGGGGAGCAAACAGG